UGUAGUUUCUUCCAAGCACCACUGCUGUGAGAGUUGCUGUGUCUUGGGUUUCAACUGAGUUUGUGGUAGGGCGGUCCACACUUAGCCUGGAAAAGUUUACUGUUCCUGGUAUCUUCUACAGAAGAGAGCCACAGACAGAAAGGCCCAGAGGAAUGACAAUGACAAUCUCAUACUUUAGGAGGGUGUCAGGGUGGAAAAUACCACUCUUGGCAGUAUUUUGUGGUCCAGGAACCAAUGGAAUGGAAGAGCACAGGCCAGGAAAUAGGCAAGCGCUGUUGGAGAAACUUGGGGUCUAUGAGAGGGCAAGACCCCUGACCUGAGAUUCCCUUCUAUGGGGCCUUGUCUGCUCACACAUCCAAACUACAGGGAAGUUGUUAUCGUAUAACAAUUAUGAUUGUCAUUUCUUGUCACUCCUGAGGUUACCUUUGGCAGAGCCCUUGAAGAGAUUAAUCCAACCAAUGGGCGAAGAGACAGUAACUGAGUCCUACCCACAAGCCUCCCACCCUGGUCUGGAAGUAAAAUUAGACUUUCAAAACCUGGGGCAGGCCUGUCUAAUUUUGUUUAGGAAAAAUAACUGUGAUAUGAGAGGUUUAAUGAGGUUAGAAAUUGAGAAGGAAGUGGAAGGAGAAUAGAUUAUCAUGGGAAAUAAAGGCAGCCACUAGAGAUAACACUGAUAUCAAAUAUCAGGCUUCCAAACCAAGUAUCUAUAAUCCACUGGGGCUUAAUGGUGGUAUUGGGGCACAUUUAUCCAAAACCCAUGUGAGUUCAGCAACUCACAUUAUAACUUACUCCUUCAUCAUUCUCUGUUUCUAGGGGAAGAUGUGGGCACUGAGGGGAUCUACCUGGAACUGAGGGAAGCUGGAACUAUCUGGGGCCCUUUGGGUUAUGCUAGUCUGACACCCCUGCGUACUCCAACCUCCACUUGACUAUAGCUAGUAUCUGAGUCUCCCUGAGGAACCAGCCCUGUGACAGGAUCACACACCAUGGAAGAGCUUCUCCCUUCUGGCUGUUACUCUGUGGAGACAAGCCCUCAGAAGCUGAAUCUGAGGCCACAGGGCAAAGAACUGUGAGAUGUGGCUAUGGAACAGUGGCAUCCUCCAGCAGAGGCACAGGCAAGUGUGGUGUGUUAGGAUCUGGGGAGUUGUUGAUUCCGUCCUGUAGAUCAGACAUGAACACCUGAGCCAGUUGAACAGGACAUCAGGGUGAUGAUGUCUUUCUGGGCCAAGGACAAGAGAGUUACAUUCACCAGUGUGGCAAGUGCCAAAAAGUGCUGCCUAAAAAUGUCCACUAAUGUAUGGCCUUGACAACACUCAGCUUCUGUGGCCUGAAGACCAUGCUUUGAGAUUACCAUAACAGAGACACUAUGAAGACUUGUGUCAUCCUCAUGAGAGGAUGAUCAUAGACACAGGGGAGGUGGCCACAUCUCAGAGAUAUCCUGAAGCUGCCAGGACCUGGGCAAGGGAGGGUAAACUCAGGGCUGCAGAUGGACAGGCCCUGUAGUACCUUGACUUUGGGCGGCUGGGUUCCAGUAUGGGGAACUUCAGUGCUCAGCAUAGGCCAGUGUUUAGACCAGCCAUACAGUCUAUAUUGCUUUGUCAGGAAAAAAAAGUAUGACCCUCUUACCAAAAGCCACUUGCUUCUUUGAGAGAGCUGAACACAGCUGCAUGUUUAUUAGCCACGGGAAGGGUGCCCUUCAUAGCUAGCCUGUCUAGAGCCAUGGUCAGUGCAGCUCUUUUGACUCUUGGCUGUAUCAAGGGAGGGACUUUCAUUCUUUCCAUUUUUCAGGCAAGGAAACAGGCUUGGAGAGUCCCUGGCAGCCUGAGAUCCCUGUGGCUUGUGGUCAUCCCUGGUGGGGGCUGAAGGCAAAAACCACAGUUUGUGUACAGUCUGGGGCCUGGUGGAGGGUAAGCAUGGAUACAGGAAGGGAAACUACUGCAGAAUGUUUAGCUUCUGACUCUGGCUGCAGCUGUGAAGAAAGCUGAAGACACACACACACACACACACACACACACACCCAUUAAGCUGCAUUCCCAUGACUAUACAUAAGCUACAUGGACAUGCCUCUCAUCUGUUCUGUGUGAUUUUUUCUUUUUCCUUUUUCUAGACAGGGUAUUACUAUGUAGCCCAAGCUGGCCUGCAGCCACACAAAUGCUGGGAUUGCAGACGAGAAGUGGAUCCUGCCUAGGCCACCACCAGAUAACAGGCACCCACCUGGAGAGGGAAGGAUGGCUACAGGAGCUACUCAGCCUGACAACCAACAUCUGCACAGCGAGCUCUGCAGGGAAGGACACACAGCUGCCACUCAUCAGAGGUAUCCAUCAGGUACAGCCCUUCCUUCUCUGGUUUGUCCAAGUUGAGGCACUCAACAGACCCACCAAGGAACCAGAAAGCCAACUCUACACAGUGAUGGUGAGCCUGGGCCAAAGUCUCCUGCUGUGCAGAGGAGAUGCAUAGCAGAAUCCUUGGCUCCAGGAACUGCUCCUGAGCCCCUCUCAGGACACCCUCACUCCAUACUGGCUCUGCUGCUGAGCUCUGAGGUGGGACCAGGAACCCAGGUCAGGCAUGCCCACACUCCCUUUCUGUGCAUUUCCUGGGGCCUAGCUGUGCUAUCAUUUGCUCCUACAACCCAGGCCCUGAACCUGCUAAUCAUAUCCCUCUACUCACAACUGGAAGUUUCUGUGCCUCAGAGGCCUUGCCUGCUAACAAAAUUGAUGAGUAGGAGAUAUUGUGGGGUUGUCUGGGUCCCAGGAAGUAAGUGGUAGAUGCCUCUGCAGACUUGAACUACAUGUUCCCUGCCCAGUGGGCCUCCUGCACAAGUCCAAUAGGUGGCCAUGCAGAAGAGAAUAGGGUGCCAACCAGCCAACCAGGCCUGGGACCCAGAGAUGCCCAACUCAGACACAAAUCACCAAAGCCCUUGGACACCAAAGUCCAAGGUACACUGUGCUGGUGGGUUUUGUUUGUUUGUCAACUUGAUACAAGCCAGGGUUUUCUGGGAAGUGGGAAUCUCAACUAAGAAAACGCCUCCAUCAGAUUGGCCUGUAGGACAUUUUUUUGAUUAGUGAUUUGAUGUAGGAAGGCCCUGUUGCUGGUGAUGCCAUCCCUGGCAAGACAGUACUGAGCUGCACUAGAAAGCAGGCUGAGCAAGCCAUGGGGAGCAACAGCACCCCUCCAUAGCCUCUGCUUCAGUUUCUGCCUCUAGACUCCUACCCUGAUUUCCUCCCUUGGCUUCCUAUUCCUAUGAUCAUGGAUGGACUGCAACCUCUAAGCUCAAUAAACCCUUUUCUCCC